GUCUUAGAGAGGAUAGAACGGCGCUGACAAACAUGAAAGGUCUUACACAAACGGUUUUGUUUCUGGGUGUUGUCGCAACCAUGUGCGGGACACUCAGUAUGGCUGAUUGCAGUGGAGACUCUACAUGCAGUGGACACGGAACCUGUGAACUGGCUAAAACGUGCACCUGCGACACUGGUUUCAUUGGUGACUUGUGUGAAUAUGAUGAUCCAUGCCUACCUGAUCCAUGUAAUGGCAAAGGAAAAUGUACAC